UUCUAUGCCUUUUUUUUCUUUUAAUUUUUUUGCAUUUUUCGUUUUUUUUAGUUUACUUUAAUUUUUGUUUCAAUAAAUUGCAUGUGCUAGACGAGUCUUAUAUGUAGUGUAACCCUACUUACCCAUUCUUGAGCCCUACAAAAAAAAUUGACAAAGAAAACAACUUUUAUUUUGAAAAUUUUGGGCUUUUAGACAAGUUUAGGAUAGGAUGUUAAAGACUUGGGAAAACUUUUAAAAAUAGAUAUCGUCUCAACACCGUAAGCUUCUUGACUUUGGAAACUGAUCCCGAUACUUACUAUAUUAUAUCCUUAAUUUUAAUCCCAAAUAAUAAAGCCCUUAAGUAGUUUAUUUCAGCAGUUAGCUCCGGCUUAAG
rnacentral:lncRNA from 1 species